rnacentral:rRNA from 1 species
GCCACUGCUGUUGGGGUUCGGCUAAGCCAUGCGAGUGGAGGGCGCGGUCGAAAGAUCGUGGCCCCGCACACGGCUCAGUAACACGUAGUCAACCCACCUUAGGGUGGGGGACAACCUCGAGAAACUGAGGAUAAUCCCCCAUAGGCGGGGGAGGCUGGAAUGCGCCCCCGCUGAAAGCUCAGGCGCCCUAGGACGGGACGGCGGCCUAUCAGGUAGUUGGUGGUGUGACG